UGUAGGAGCCUUGUGCCUCAGUGUUUUGCAGUAAAGGUCAGGAGUCUAUUCAAGAGACUUCCAAAGUCUUAUUGUUAAAAUAUCUCUUUGCUAUGUCACUGUUUUCCCUUUCCUCUCCUCAUUCAAAAUAACACAUUGUCAUUAGUGACUUAUAAGGCUCUCCCUCUAAGCAUAGCAUAUCCAGCUUUCCUUCAUUUUUUCCCCCAAGCUUCCUUCCUAUUUAAACAAAGAAUUGUUUUAGUCAUUUGGGACUGAAAUAUUCCUAGCCUUGCUAUCAUGAAAAAAAUAUAUCACUCUCUUUUAUGGAGUGAUUUAUAAGCACUGCAGUUUUAUUGCUGUUGUGAGCUGCAGCAUCAUGAUUUGUUAAAAUAGAAAAAUUAUGUUCUAAAAUGGCCAUUGUUGCAAUGUUCACUCUAACCUUUCUAUGACUAAUGUGGCCAAAACUUUAAGCUUUUAAUACAUUUGUCACUUUAUGAACCCUUGUAAGUAAUACUUCAGCUAGAAGGAAGGGAGGAAGGCAUGCUAUUGUAAUUCAGUAAUGUAGUGUACAACUAAUUCUUGUACCCCUAAGUGCAUAUUGUCAUUGUCAUUAUAAAUCUUGAUUUCAGACAACUUUAACUUGGCAUUUAAUUUUUUACUCAAUGACUUUUAAAGUAAAAAGGGGCAUUUUCAGAAGGGCAUUUUCAGUUAUUUGGACUCUCAUUUAUUACUUAGACAGCCUUUACACUGAGCCUGGUGUUGUGUCUCUGACCAAGUCAUGUCCUAUCUUAAAGUCACUGUCCUUCAUCUGAGCAUGCUUAGCAUGCUGAACCCAAAACUUGUCCACUACAUGCCAGAAAUUAUUCAGUUCAUUGCUGAUCUACUUGGUUUUUUUCAGAUUUGUCUGUCUUUAUACAUUGAAAUGGUUAAUUCUUUUUACAGUUUAUUCUACUACAUUAAAAAAAAAAAAUCUUCUUGAGAGCGCAUUUAUUCACCUAUAAGUGUGUUACCUCUUAGUCUCCAUUUUGGUGACUUGAGCAGAGCGAGCUCUGUAGGUGUCUUAGUGGGGCUGAGAAAUAAUUUCUGUGCCUUUUAAAGCACUCUCAUGAAAUUACUAAAUGGUUUCUGAAGGAAAUGCAACUUACAUCAUCACAGUGUCUGUCUAACACCUUCCCACUCUUUUCCUCAUACCUUACUGAAUCCUUGGCCGCUUUAAGUCCAAACUGUCAGAGGGGUGACAGUCUCAGAGUCAUUCCAGUCUGUGCAUUUAGAGUUGUAUGAAAAUAGUUGCUCUGUGAGGAGGUGAUACACAUCUGUGCUCCUGGGAAAGGAGAAGCAGCCAGAGCUCAGCCAGCUGCCCAGCCUGUGCCCAUGGGCUGCUGAGCCAGCACUGCCUAAGCAGGGCCAUAGUGAGAAGACAGCAGCAAACACAUUAGGGCAGAAAUUCCUACUGCAUGAGUAGAAGAGAAAGAAAGAAAUGAGGAAUGCAAUUUCAUAGGAAACCAACUUUCCUAAAUUGUUUCUUGAGCUGCAGAGCUAGUCCUGAACCUCAGACAUCACUGCUGGAUGCAGUGCUCCCCACUCAGAAGAGAUCUUCCUUUAAAGCAUAUGUAGGUGUUACAAAUUAAAAGAUGGCAUCUGUGUCAAUCAUUAUUUUCAUGUUUAGAUUAUAUUUUUUCUUUUGUGAUUUUUUACAUCUCUAUGCCUAUGAAUUUGGGCUUUGUUGAUACUAGCAAACAUGUUAUGAUUAUUUGGCCAGAAAUUCUGCAUCAUACAACACUCCACAGUGCUUUGAAUAGAAGCCACUCAGGGUGAGACUUUCAAGACCUUUCUCUGUCUUGCUAUAUAUCUGCCAUAACAACAGAGUAAGAUACUCCAACCAGCUUUGACAGUCAGACACCUCUGGUAACUAAUGUAUUUUGUGGUGACUUUUACUGUCCCUGCCAUGUUAUGAAUUAUUGUCCUGCCUGUUACCUUAAGCAAUUAAUAACACAAAUUCUGAUACUCCCUGCCCCAUCAUAGUGAUGAUCCACCAAUUUAAUCUGUAAAUGUAUGGACUCAGGAGAUAGCCUGUCAUCUCUUGGAGGAAGCAGUUACUGGUCAAUGUGUGUCAGCUGGAAGAUGAAGGGCUCUGUGCUCCUUGAAAGAGUUCCUCAGCUGUGGGAAAUUUGCAUCAUUCCAUCUCCUGAGGGUAUUGCAGUGUGUCUGAACUGGCCACAACACAUGUAACUGUUUCAGGGAGAGCUGCUUGCAGUGGCAUAAAGGAGGGCCAGGAAGAGAAUAAACCCCCUUUCCAUUUCUCCAAGUUCUUCUGAAAUGCUUGUUUUGGCAGUUGUUGAGAAGACAGAAGAAAAAGGCCCAGCUUUGAUGAAUGAAGAGUCCUUAGGAUCAGAAGUGCCUCCUGAAAUGGAAGGGCUUAACCAUGGCACCUGCGCAUGAAGACACAAAUUGAAAUCACUGAUACAGUGUUUGCUUCACAUCACCACAGUUCCACCACCUGCUAAAUUGCUUCACUCCAGUCCCAUGUCAGGUCACGUUCCAGUGAUCACAACAUUCAUGACCUACCUGUGAGCUUAGACAAGCGGAGGAAAUUCACACUCCUCCUCCUCUGCCUUGCUCUCCUUUGCGUGACAAGAUGAAAUGUGUGCUACUGGCCUGGAAUAAAAGAGAAAGCCUCUUGCAACUUCCAUGACAUGAUGAGGAUGGCAUGGUGCAGGGAAACAACUUUCAGAGUUGGUCAGAAGUUCUAGGAGCCUUAAAAAACAUUGCUCAGCUUAUGCUUAAAACAUCUACCACACUGAAAAACAGUCAUGAUGACACCCAAACACAUCCAUUACCAUGCCAAAUCUAUCUCUGAUUAAACUUCUUGGAAUUCUACUUGGCAACAAUAAAGAACGGCAUUUGAGAAAGGUCAGAAGAAACAUUUUCAAGUUCAGUCGUCUGGAAUAGACACAUAUUUAGAUUGCUCAGUCAUAGCGUGUUGAUCACUACUGUGACUUCAGAGCUCUGCUUUUCUGGCAAGGAGGAUGACUGUAUGUAGGAGGCUCAAACCUGUCUUCCCUUUGCCCUGCUCUUACGGUAUGGCCACGAAGCCAAAUUCCUUCACAGCUGGGUUGGUGCAUCCUUUGGGCUGAUCCAGCAGUGAUCUGCUGCCAAUGGCUCCCCCUGGACCCCCUGACUGUGUGAAGGAUGGGGCUUUGCUGGGGUGACAGCUGGGUGCAGAACAGCUCGGUGAUGUUGGCAGUGGCUGGCCCUCCUCGCUCCGCUGGGACCGAGUUAGCCAGCACGUCCUGUGCCAGGGCCGUGGCCGUGGCUGCGCAGUGGCUCGCUGGACAGCCAGCUGCUUUAGAGCUCCACUUUUUCUGCCUGUGGCUGAAGAACCUCUGUAGACUAAAGGGCACUCUUCCUGUUCUUUAAAAGACAAAGAAAAUAAGAAACCAAACUCCACCUGUUUGUUCUUUAGAUGGCAUAAACUCAUUUUAUAUAAUUCAGUUCUAUCCAGCUUGUUGAAAUGCUGCCUCUGAUGUACAAAGAGUAAAUCCCACCUUCCUAGCAGAGGCCUGAGCACAUAAGGCUUCUGUAUGUCAGAAGCUGUUCUGUAGAAAGAGAAAUGCACUUGAGCUACUGCAGUUAUUACUUGGCUACCACAGUAACUGGUUGCAGACAAAUCUGUGGAAAUUUCACUGUUUUGUAUUUGGUCUUUUUAGUGUUAAUACUGCAGCACUGGAGACAGAGAACGGAGAAUGGAGCAGCUGAGCUGCAGGACUACAACCUGAGAUAAUUCACAGUGUUUUGAGUCCCUUUCUCAUCACUAAUAGAAUUCUUGCUAAACUCAAUUACUCCCACCCAAAGCUGAAUUAACUUCCCUCUGUCACAGUACAUUUUUUGCUCUAUCUCUGUACAAACUAAAUUAUUUUACCAAGUAAAAUACUUCCCUGCCUCCAGAGCUUCCCUAUUGACCAUAGCUAGGUACUCAACAUUUUCAAAUACAAUGCCUCUGGGUUUUGAAUUAGAUAUCUGUUGUCAUUGGCCAUCUAGGUAUUAAAUGCCAAAGGGUGUGUCUGUCCUUUAAAAAAGUUUAAACUUCUCUGUGAAAUAAAGGGAACAAAGGCUGUCAUAUGCUGUGGGUGCAUAUUGGGUCUGUCUCCUGAUCUUCCACCAAGUAGAAAACUGCCUCAUUGAUGUGGACAGUUUUAUGUGAAGAGCAUUCUGUAGAAAUUUGAGUCCAAGUUAAAACACUGACUUUAAUCAGUGAAGGAGAGAUACUGGGUAGCAAAGAGGUAGGAUCUUCUUAGAUAAGUCUCCAUGUUUGAACUGUAGGACAGGGCUCAAAAAAACCAAAACAUUGUGCCACUUUGUACACAUGGCUGCUUUGCACAUGCAGAUCUAUUUGUCCACCAGAGCUAUUGUGACAGCAAAUCCACAGUUAUAUAAUUCUUGGCAGGAAAGCUUAAUGUAUGCAAGGGAGCAGCAUGGAGAAGCAAUCUUGCUCCUUGCAACAUACUUGAACUGGCAAGUUCUGAUGCACAUAAUUCUCCUCACCUGCACAGAGCAAAGAACAAAUGGAAAUUAUACCUUACUGGAUCAAAUGUUAUCUUCUUACUCCUUUACAUCUUCUUUGUUGGUAAUAAACGAAGGGAACGUGUCCUUUAAAAUGACCAAAUGUACUCAUAUUGAAGAGUAAUCAAAGUCAUUGUUUAGGCUUUGGUUACCCUUUGCUGGAAGCUAUAGAUGACUUUGUGGGACAUAUCUGAGAGCAAGGAGACUGUCUUAUGUUUAUAAUCACCGAGGAGUGGUUAGCUCAGACAGUUUAAAGUAAUCUCAGAGCUCUAUUUUUUAACAAAGUAUUUCAAUAUGAAAGCAAAGAUGAAAAAUAUGUCUCCUCCCCUUAUAAUAUCUAUCUCAUUAAGACAUUUUCUCCUGUUUAGUGCAGGUAGGGUUUAACCUUGUGAUAUUUUCUGUAAGAGACUUGGGAGCUUUGGACUGGGGAAAUGGAAAACUACUCAUGAUUAUUCUCUUCUCUGAAAAUGUUUGUAUAUCAAGGCUUAAAAUGCUUAAUGGUAUUCUUUAAAAAAUCCUUUACAUUCACUCUUACGGAUAGGAAGCAGAAUAAAUGCAUUUUACCAGCAAUAGCACUAGAAUAAGGCAAACUAGGACACUGUAAGGCUAAGUAUAUAAUAUGAGAAAAUUAACUGUACAUAUAUUUGUUGCUGCACAAGUCCAGGAAUUCUGACAACUGGAACAUAGUCAGUGCAGCGAGAAAUCCCAAGGCAAGCCAGGAAUGUGUUGUCAGGCAGCGAUGACUUCAGCCCACAGCCCUUGCCAGCCUCCCUUGGUCAGCUCCACAGCUCCAGAUCACUGCUCUGCAAAGGGUCACCACUCCCUUCCCGUUAAAUCACUGCACAAAGGACCAAAUCUAAAGUGGUUGGCUGGGGUUUUUCCAUUUUGCAAGAAUGUGUUAUGACUACCAGACAUCUAAUAAGCAGUGAACUUGUUUAUAUGAACAAAAUUUUCAGCCUGUCAGAUGGAUUCCCUUCUUGCCCUGCUCAAGUGAAGUGGUACCACAAGUGAAAUGAUACUUCAAUUUUGCCUUUUUUCUUCAGAGCUUGUUAAAGUUAUGAGGGUUUGCAUUUUGACAGCCAGUUUAUCCCCACCACAGUGUGAUCUCUUUCGUCAUGCUUUUUAUCUACAUUCACUCUCACAGCUGUUUUACCAAGCUGCUUCUGAGGCUGUAUAGUAUCUAAAUUCCUUAGAAAAGAAUCUGUCAUGGUGGGGGUCAAGUGGAUGAGGAAGUUUGUGGCAAUCUAAAGGUUUUUUCUUGUUUGCUUGUUCAUUUCAUGAGUAGUAGAAAAUGUUCUUCAUUCAAUGACUGAUUUACUGUCAGCAAAGUAAGUUUAAAAUGUUAGAAAAUACUGUGUGGGAAGUGGACUUUAAUCUUUCCAAAAGUUACACUGGUCUUCAGUUUUCACAUAUUACUUCAAAUGUACCUAGAAAUCAUCAAUGGUUAAACAGAGCUGCUUCCAAUAAUAUUUUGAUGGCUUACAAAGGUCAAACUAAAGGUUAGUUUAACUAUUUUAACCUUCAAAAGACAGCGACAGCUGAAAUAACUCAGUAAUUUUACGUAGCAAUCAAUAUAAUGGCUGGGAAAGCAUGAGAAGGGAUAUAUAAUUUUGAGAACUCAAUGUAAAAUCCAUGUGGGAUGUUUUUUACCAAGAGAGAUGUAUUUUUACUUCAGGGUAGGUAUUGUGCUUUUCUGUAAUUUUGGAAAAAAAUCAGUAAACACAAAGUACUUCAAUUUUGCCAUGAGGCAAACUCAGAAAAAAUUGAUUCUGUCCUCAUUGGCAGUUACUGAUUCAUUUGUGAGUACACCUAGAGCUUCCUUCUGUUUUUAUGCUGGUAUAGCUCAGAGAAAUUAGUAUAAAUGCUUGUUGGCGUUCGUCUAGGUAACAAAUGUGGAAACUAAAUUAUUUCAUUUAUUUUGGUACUCAGUGGGAGCUAAAAUCACAGACACUCUGUUAGAAGGGUUUUUUAAAUUUUUCGUUUCUACCAAGCUGCAGCUUGUCAAAUAAAUGCUGUCAUAAUUUUGAGGUGAACGUGUUCAAGCCUGAAUUCUUGACAAAGGUAGGAAUUUCAAGUCUGUGCUUAAAAAAAGGAAGGGUAAAAAAAAGCAUCCUCAAAUGUAUUGUUGACUGAUAGAUGAUCUUACAGCUGCAGCUUGGUUUUGGAUUUGGAAACCUUGUGGUCCCUUGUGUUUCUUCUG